CUGUGAAGUUGAAGCCUGGGUUGCCUUGGAGAAUCCAAGAUGUUCGAGAUGCCAGAGUCCUGGGAUAGCUGCCAAGGAGAGCUGCUAACGGGGAGUUGAACCAGCUCAAGAGACAGAAGUGUGCUGCAGUCAACAGAGCUGAGCAGAGCUGGAGAUCUGAAGAGUGUUUUGACUUCAGACUUAAGAGAUGCAGAGUUUAGAAUUUGCCCAUCUGGUUUUCAGUCUUGCUUUGGUCCAGUAUUUCCUCACCAGGCUCCCUUCCCUACAUUUUGGAUUGACAGGGUUCAGCACCACCACCAAUGACUGUUGGAUUUCUGCUGAAGGUGUUCCCGGCUGCUUUUGUGUACUCGGAAAACGUGCUGAUCAGAGCCUACUGCAUCAAGGACCCAUCUCACAAAUAUUUUGCUUUGUUGGACUGAAAGAAAAAAAAUGCCACAGAAUCUUAAAAAUGUGGUAGCAGCUUUAUAAGGGAUUUUGUCCCACCCUCGCAGUACAAAGCUGCAUGUACUCAAAGCCCUAGUCUAUUUAGAAGGCCUGAAGUGCCGUUCACAGGAUGGUGUGUCUGCUGUUGCUCUUUGUUAAUUGCAUGUGUACAAUGGUGCUUUUGUGAUCCUGGGAAUCUAAACAUAGCAGCUUGUCAUUCUUUCAUUGUUUUUGCUUUAAAUAAAUAAUUCUGUAAAACCA